GGAUGAACGCUGGCGGCGUGCCUAAUACAUGCAAGUCGAGCGAUGAGGCUCCUUCGGGAGUACAUCAGCGGCGAACGGGUGAGUAACACGUGGGUGACUUGCCCCGAAGAUGGGGAUAACCUCUGGAAACGGGGGCUAAUACCCAAUGUGCUCGGUGAUUCGGUUCAUCGAGUAAAGCUCCGGCGCUUCGGGAGAGGCCUGCGGCCCAUCAGCUAGUUGGUAGGGUAACGGCCUACCAAGGCAGAGACGGGUAGGGGGCGUGAGAGCGCGGACCCCCACACUGGCACUGAGAUACGGGCCAGACUCCUACGGGAGGCAGCAGUAAGGGAUAUUGCGCAAUGGACGAAAGUCAGACGCAGCGACGCCGCGUGGGCGAUGAAGGCCUUCGGGUUGUAAAGCCCUUUAAUGGGGGAAGAGAAAAAGGACGGUACCCCAGGAAUAAGUCCCGGCUAACUACGUGCCAGCAGCCGCGGUAAAACGUAGGGGACAAGCGUUAUCCGGAUUCACUGGGCGUAAAGAGCGUUGAGGCGGUUCCGUAAGUUGGGCGUGAAAGCUCCGGGCUUAACUCGGAGAUGUCGUUCAAUACUGCGGGGCUUGAGGACAGCAGAGGAAGGUGGAAUUCCCGGUGUAGUGGUGAAAUGCGUAGAUAUCGGGAGGAACACCCGUGGCGAAGGCGGCCUUCUGGGCUGUUCCUGACGCUGAAGGCGAAAGCUAGGGGAGCGAACGGGAUUAGGAUACCCCGGUAGUCCUAGCU
rnacentral:rRNA from 1 species